GUCCAUGCCGUAAACGGUGGGCGCUAGGUGUGGGUUUCCUUCCACGGGAUCCGUGCCGUAGCUAACGCAUUAAGCGCCCCGCCUGGGGAGUACGGCCGCAAGGCUAAAACUCAAAGGAAUUGACGGGGGCCCGCACAAGCGGCGGAGCAUGUGGAUUAAUUCGAUGCAACGCGAAGAACCUUACCUGGGCUUGACAUGCACUGGAUGCGGCCAGAGAUGGUUGUUCCCUUUGUGGCUGGUGUGCAGGUGGUGCAUGGUU
rnacentral:rRNA from 1 species